rnacentral:rRNA from 1 species
UACGGAGGGUGCGAGCGUUGUCCGGAAUCAUUGGGCGUAAAGGGCGCGUAGGUGGCCCCUCAAGCGGGCGGUGAAAGUCGGGGGCUCAACCCCCGAUCGGCCGUGCGAACUGGGGGGCUGGAGCACUGUAGAGGCAGGCGGAAUUCCGGGUGUAGCGGUGGAAUGCGCAGAUAUUCGGAAGAACACCAGUGGCGAAGGCGACUUACUGGACACAUAUUGACGCUGAGGUGCGAAAGCGUGGGGAGCAAACAGG